rnacentral:rRNA from 1 species
CACGUAGGGCGCAAGCGUUGUCCGGAAUUAUUGGGCGUAAAGAGCUCGUAGGCGGUCUGUUGCGUCGGCUGUGAAAACUCGGGGCUCAACUCCGAGCUUGCAGUCGAUACGGGCAGGCUAGAGUUCGGCAGGGGAGACUGGAAUUCCUGGUGUAGCGGUGAAAUGCGCAGAUAUCAGGAGGAACACCGGUGGCGAAGGCGGAUCUCUGGGCCAUUACUGACGCUGAGGAGCGAAAGCGUGGGGAGCGAACAGG